UGACAGGCUUCCACUUAGAGAAGAAACAGGAUUUAGAGAAGCACGAGAAGCCAUGUUCAUCAUGAGGCCUCCCCCAUUUCGGUUAGUACCAAUGUUCCCAAUAUUCCCAAACCUAACUUGAUUCAUAAAAGACGUCUCGGGCGAUUCAGGUAAAAAUCCAAAGUGACUCUCGAAUGGAGCACCUGAAGGGGCAGACCCAACAUGAUGACGGUUUUGAUCUGAAGAUCCAAACAAUGAAGUCUGGCGACUACCAUACAAGAAGCCUUGACCCUGAGGGCGGCUACUAGAUGACAUUGCAUGACCAAUUGUUGGUGGACGCCACAUUGAGGAUUGAGAA